ACUAAUCUUCCUAUGGGAGAACCAUCUAAACCAAACCAUUGCCCAAUCACUUGGUCAAUGUUAAGAUGAUAUUAUUAUAAAAUCAACAUAAUAACAAUAAUUCAGGACUAAUCAUUAUUAAUGCGGAAGUCAAACAAACUACUUACUAAAAAUUUCAAGACCCAAAAGUCAUCGUACAAGAACUACUAACAAAGAUCAUGUCUAAAGUGAUAUCCAAAAAUAAAGUAAAUAAAGAAUGUUUCAUUGCCCGAAAGAUGGACAAUAAUAACUAAGAUGACCCGUGGCAACCUGAAGACGGAAUACUCACCCUUCUGAUCAAGAUCUUCUAUCAACUCUAAAGGUGAGGUCGUGUCUAAGCCUCUGGAAAACGUUCUGCACUCAACAAAAGAAGAGUACAUGGUAGUAUCAGUACAAACCACUAUGUGCUGGUAGGCAUCAUAGGCCAACUCAACUUAAUAGGAUGUACACAACAUAAUUAAAAAAAUAAGUAGACAGGCAUCAUCAAAUAACAAAUUCUCAUUGAAUCAACAAUACAACAAUAACAGGUCAACAAUGCUCACAAACAAGCCACAUAACUAUCAAGAGUAUCAACCAUAAGGUAAACAUCCACAAAAUCAACAUAAGUAUGUAUACACAUGCUAUGGGACUUAUUUUUGCCCAAAUAGUCAUGACCUGCAGGGAGCAAUCUAUGUUCAUGUACUGUACCGGGGUGGCACCCGAUCCAACAUAAAUAUAAACGUACAAGCGUGGUACCCGAUCCAACAUAAAUAAAAUCGUACCGGCGUGGUACCCGAUCCAACAUAAAUAUAAAUGUACCGGAGUGGUACCCAUUUCAACAUGAAUAUAAACGUACCGGCGUGGUACCCGAUCCAACAUAAAUAUAAACAUACCGGCGUAGUACCUGAUCCAACAUAAAUAUAAACAAGUAUUAUCAAUAUCAAUUUACACAACCUCACAACACACAACACACAACACAAUGUAUCAUGUUUACAAGUACACUUAAAGUCAUAAGACAAUUCCAUCAAGUCAAUUUUCAAUAAGCAUUUAUAUAGGAAUCAACAAUCCAAACAUCAACGAUUUCAAGCAUGUCGGAAUACCAAUCCAAAAGUAUUCAAUUUAGGAGCAUACACACAAUUAAGUCGAGUCUAAACACCAAUUAAAACGUAGCCUACCUUAACCGAAGAAUACAAAUAUCAUCAGUUCACAAGUGCCUUGCGCUUCCUCAAAUUUUCAAAACGUUAAAAAUCUGUUUAAGUAUAUAAUUGUCAUAAGGGUAUGAAUCUAGUAAUACCCAUUCAAUAAAUUCUCACGCUAAAAAUUCUAAACUCAAAACCAAAAUUUACCAAAACCUUAACUCAUUAAAUUCAGUAACCAAGGUAAGCACGGCAAAAACUAGUACUGCAGUACUUUAAUGUGCAGGAAACUAUUAGCCCACUUUCCUAUCGUAAUUAUUACUCAUUAUUGAGUAAUGAUUGCUAAUCAUUACAUAAUGAUUAACCAUUAUCACUAAUAUAUGAAAUAUAAAACGAUACAAAUUAAUUAUUUUUUUUUCUUGAAUUUCCAUCGCCCAAUAACUAAACCUAUCAUUAUUCAAUAAUAAUAGAUGUUCACUAUGAAAUCAUGAUAGUGGCAGAUUAGUACCAUAUUAAUUCAUCCAAUUUCUAAAGUUGAAUUCUCACCUGAAACAUUGACUCACGCCACACAAUUCCUUUCUCCUGUAGCAUCUGUUUUAUUUUUCGUUAUUGUUCAAAAGGGUUAAACCCUAUUAACUAAAAGUCACAUAAUAUUUGAUAGUAAAAA
rnacentral:lncRNA from 1 species